GACGAACGCUGGCGGCGUGCUUAACACAUGCAAGUCGAGCGGUAAGGCCCUUUCGGGGGUACGACGAGCGGCGAACGGGUGAGUAACACGUGGGUGACCUCGCCCUUAGCUCUGGGAUAAGCCUGGGAAACGUAGGGUCGUAAUACCGGAUAUGACUCCAUAACGCAUGUUGUGGGGUGGAAAGCCUUGUGCGGCUAGGGAUGGGCCCGCGGCCUAUCAGCUUGUUGGUGGGGUGAUGG
rnacentral:rRNA from 1 species